GCCGGGGUGGCGAAAUUGGUAGACGCGCCAGACUCAAAAUCUGGUAGUGGUAACACUGUGUCGGUUCGAGUCCGACCCUCGGCA
rnacentral:tRNA from 1 species